GACGAACGCUGGCGGCGUGCUUAACACAUGCAAGUCGAGCGGAAAGGCCCUUCGGGGUACUCGAGCGGCGAACGGGUGAGUAACACGUGAGCAACCUGCCCUAGGCUUUGGGAUAACCCCGGGAAACCGGGGCUAAUACCGGAUAUGACCGCUGGCCGCAUGGCUGGCGGUGGAAAGUUUUUCGGCCUGGGAUGGGCUCGCGGCCUAUCAGCUUGUUGGUGGGGUGAUGGCCUACCAAGGCGACGACGGGUAGCCGGCCUGAGAGGGCGACCGGCCAAAGUGGGACUGAGACACAGCCCAGCGGCCUACGGGAGGCAGCAGUGGGGAAUAUUGCACACUGGGCGAAAGACUGAUGAAGCGACGCCGCGUGGGGGAUGACGGCCUUCGGGUUGUAAACAUCUUUCAGCAGGGACGAAGCGGAAGUGACGGUACCUGCAGAAGAAGCGCCGGCAAACUACGUGCCAGCAGCCGCCGUAAAAC
rnacentral:rRNA from 1 species